ensembl:snoRNA Gm23043 predicted gene, 23043
GCUCUUGUUAUAUCCACAUGUGUGUAAGUAGGUGGAAGAAAGGAAAGAGGUUAUGCCUAUACUCAGUGUUCUGACCUAUGAACAUCUGAAUGAUUAGAAGCCCAACUCU